rnacentral:lncRNA from 1 species
UGAAACCUGAUGAAACCCCUGUAUUUGACCAGAGUACUCAGAGAAGUAGCCUGGAGUCAGAAUACAGCUAGAUUUUCUCCAGCCAUUUCCCCAACGCGUCCUGGAGGAGACCUGUUUUGAGACCUGCUAUUGUACUGCUGACUUAAAUAGAGGUGUGCGUGUGUGUGUGUUUUAAGAUACGGGGUCAGCUGACAAGAGACUGGAGUUGUGAACCCUGAACAAUUUAUGAAAUCUUUUGAGCAUAUAAAGAAAUCUGGGGACUAUGAUGUUGCAGUUGUGGAAGAUGCAACUCUAGGACAGAUUGUUGCUACAGCAACUCUGAUAAUAGAACAAAAAUUCAUCCAUUCCUGUUCUAAGAGAGGAAGAAUAGAAGAUGUUAUCAUUAGUGAUGAAUGCAGAGAAAAGCAGCUUGGCAUGUUGUUAUUACCAACUCUUACUUUGCUAAGCUAGAAACUGAACUGUUAGAAGAUUUCCCUUGAAUUUCUACCACAAAAUGUUGGUUUGUAUAAAAAGUCUGGAUAUAUUGUAUCUGAGGAAAACCGCGCGGGCUGGAGGUUUCUAA